rnacentral:lncRNA from 1 species
CAGAAAAUGCAAAUUACCCUAUAUUUUCGUUAAGAAGACAGUCAAGAAGGAAUAUUAUGUUUUUUAAGGCUGAACAGUGGUCCUACAGUAUUUGGCAUUAGCAAUCUCAGGGAAAGAUGCCAGUGUAUCAGGCCUUUUUGUUAUGGAGAAGUUCUGGCAUAAAUUUGAGAACCAGGACUGCAGGGAUUUAGGUGUUCUGGAACAGGUGACAAACUUCCUUUCACUACUAGGCCAUGCUUAGAAGGACACAGCUGCUCAGGACCUUUCAGAGGAGCAGGCCAGCACUCUUAAUCUGAAUACAUAAAAUUGUGCCAAUUGCUUGGACUUUUAGUUCAGAGCAGACUGCAGCUUGUCUGGUCAGUCUCGUGGCUGCCUUGAGUGUCAACCUCCUAAUCCUGCCUGGCUCAAUCCUGGCCCUGCUCUUUGGGCUUCACUCUGCUUUAGAAAGACCUAAAAAGAAAAGGUCUUUCUCUGUCGGGCUUUGGCUCUUUCCUUGGAGGACAAAUUCUUCCCACUCUGAAGAUUUGGUGUCUGCCUUGGAGAACCCACAGGCACAGCUGCAUUUUGAAAACAAAAGAUCAGGAGGCAAAGUCACCACCCACAAGCAGAAUUUGCAGCUCUGCAGCCAUCGGGGACUGGUGCAAAUGGGCCUGAUGCAGAUGCCAGAGAACAUACUGCCAAGUGACACCAGGGAACAGCAAGAACUGAAAGUAUAACCUAAUCUAGGGUGAGAACAAUAUCUACUUUUGCAUAUUUAGCAGGGAUAGCCUUGGGCCAUGAACUGAGGCUUAACUUUGCCCACAUCAUAAUAUACCUUUCAUAUUUUUGUAAUCAGCAGUUUGGGUCAAUCUAUUGUACAAACCAUGUAAUGUCUGCAAAAUAAGGUGGUGGAUGCACCUCCAGUUUGAUGCCCCUCAGUAGAC